UCUUACUCAAAAGUCAUCUAGGUGGUCUGUGCAAACGAAAAAGUUAAGAACCACUGCUUACAACCACAACUACUGAAUACUGAUUAUUGAUAAUGAUAUCUAGUACCGUGAUAAUAUUAACACAGAAUAUUCUGUGAUAUUAUUAAUAUAAUUUAACAUUACUGAUAAUACGAUAGUCACUAUUGUAAUUUGUAGUUGGUGUAACGUUUUAUUCCAACUCCUUAAACAAUUUGAAAUUUGACGGUUUUUUUGGUCGUGGAGUUUUAGUUUUUCAUUCUGCUUUUAAAUUACAGCUGUUUUUAUUAGAAUAACUGUAAUGGACUCUGACGAUGAAAUCCCAUCAUUGGUGACAGCCAUCACGUUAAAUCCAGUUCCUGUGACAAUUAUAACUGGUUACUUAGGGUCUGGAAAGACAACUCUUUUAAAUUACAUACUUACGGAACAACACAAUAAAAAAAUUGCUGUCAUAUUGAACGAAUUUGGUGAAGGUGACACAAUGGAAAAAUCAAUUGCUGUUGGUGAAAAGGGAAAUCUUUGUGAAGAAUGGCUUGAACUACAAAAUGGCUGUUUAUGUUGUUCUGUCAAAGAUAAUGGUGUGAAAGCAAUUGAAAACCUCAUGUUAAAACGUGGAAAAUUUGAUUAUAUAUUGUUAGAAACUACAGGAUUAGCUGAUCCUGGACCUAUUGCAAAAUUAUUUUGGGUUGAUUCUGAACUGGGAAGUGAUGUUCAUUUAGAUGGAAUAGUGUGUGUCAUCGAUAGCAAAAACGCCAAUAAACAUCUUGGCAACAGUUUACUUGAAGAAUCCAACUUGGAUAUUAUAAACCCUUCAUCAAGUUAUGCUUAUAGAGAGGAAAAAAUAUACAAGGAAUCGAAGUAUUGGAAAUGUAUAGAUAUGCAAUGUAAAGGUCGAUUAACAACUACAAGUGAUAAUAAAAUUAAAAAAGAGCCUUCAGAGCAUAACCACGUUCCAGAUAUAUGCAAGUUAGAAGUAAAAAAAGAAGUCGAGAGAAUGAAAUCCCAAUCAUUGUCGUCACAAGAUAACCCUCAACAAAUAAUCGCUUCAUCGCAAUUAAAUCCAAUGAUAUCAGGUGCAUUACCCGAAAUAUCUAAUUUAAAACACACGUUAAGAAGAGUACGACAACGUAAUGAUUGCGCACCGCCGAAUCCUCAGUCACUUUUUAACCUCCAAAUACCUGAAAGGUAUACUUUAACUAAAGAUGGAAAGCAAUUCAUGCAGUACGAUAGCGGUCCAUCAGAUGAACGUAUUUUAAUAUUUUUUACUAGACAAAAUCUAGAAUUAAUGGGAAAAUGUAAUAAUUGGUUCGUUGAUGGUACAUUUAAGUGCACUCCGACACUUUUUACUCAAAUUUACACAAUACAUGUAUUGACAACCAAUUCGUUGAUACCUGCUGUUUACGCUUUAUUACCAAAUAAAUCACAAAAAACAUAUGUACACCUCCUUAAUCAAUUAAAAAAAAUUAAAUCAACUUUAUCACCAAAAUUAAUUAUGUCAGAUUUUGAAAUGGCAUCAAUUAAUGCAUUUAAAGAAGUAUUUCCAAAUGUAAAACAAAAAGGAUGCCAUUUCCAUUUUUCCCAAUGUAUUUGGCGUAAAAUACAACAAAUUCAAUAUAUGGCCCAAAAAUAUAUAUCAGAUUCGACAUUUGCAUUACAGAUACGGCUCUUAUUAGCAUUAGCAUAUGUACCAGAAAAUCAUGUGAUAGAUGCGUUUGAAGAAUUAAUAGAUUCACAAUACUACACAGAUAACGAAAAAAUUUUGCAACCACUUAUUGACUACUUUGAAGACACCUGGGUAGGCCGUCCAAUGGGUCGAAGAAAAGGUCGUAGAUUACCAAAGUAUUCAAUAAGUUUAUGGAAUUGUUACGAAUCAGCAAGUACUUUAUUGCCAAGGACUAACAAUGCAGUAGAGGGUUGGCAUAGAGGUUUCAGUUCAUUACUUGGUGCAUAUCAUCCAACAUUAUGGACAUUUAUCGAUGUGUUAAAAGAUCAACAACAUUUAGAGGACAUUAAACAGGAACAGUUCAUUGCUGGUGCCAAAAAACAUCAAAAAAAAAAAUAUAAAGAUUGUUCAGAAAAAAUACGUAAUUUAACCUUAUCCUACAAUACUAACGACAACAUUAAUUAUUUAAAAGACAAAUUGCAUUAGCUGAUAUUAUACUCAUCAAUAAAAUUGACUUAGUCGACAGCAGUACUUUAGAAACUUUAAAGAUUAAGAUUAGAUCAAUUAACGGAAGUUCCGAAAUUAUUGAGACAACUCAUAGCAG